CAGGUUUAAUUUAUGACAAGUUUUUUACCGUGACAAACAUACAAAACGACCGUGACUUUUGUUAUUGACGCGGAUGGAAAAUUCUAGAAUUUACAAAAGUUUUACUUAACAUCUCAAACAUUCCCGCCCGCCUUGUCGCAACGUGACAAAGAUUGGUGGUGGUUCCGGCGCGGAUCACAUUCCGAUAGCGAUCGAUGGUGGGGCGGGCGCGCCGGCGCGGCGAAAUACACGUGGUGAUCGCGUGGUGUGAAUCGAUCAGCUGAGCCGAUGAGAGCACGUGGUAAACGCGUGGUGUGAAAUAAUCAGCUGAUCUGGUGACAACGCGUGGUUGAUGUGAACGGCGAGUGUGUAAUGCAGUGAGCGGUGAUAACGAAAUAAUUUUUUUCUUUUUGUGCGGUGGUGGAUGAGAUGAGUGACGUGCGACAGAUGCUAUGAUGCAUGAUGUGAUGAUUGUGUGACGUUACGAAGUGUCAGCGUGCGGUGUAGGUGCGUCGUUCACGCCCGGGAGGAAAACAAGCUUGACGAGUGGGCGCACAAGCUCGGACGUGGCCGUUUGGAUUGACACCACGCGUACAAUCCCAUCGUCCCCGGGGUGCAGUCGCGAUAUGCGAGCCAGUGGCCAUCGGCUCGGUGGGGUGAGCUCGGAGCGCACGAGACAGAGAUCACCGAUGUGGGGUGCAGCUUCGUCCUUGAGCCAUUUGGUGCGCGAGGCUAGUCCGUGUAAAUAUUCGGACGACCAUCGCUGCCAGAAGUGAUCCCUCAUCUGCUGCAAAUGACGCCAGCGUGACAAGGUGGAUACCGUCUGCCCUGUCAAUGACAAUUCCGGCACAGCAAGUAGCGGCGCCCCGACGAGGAAGUGACCGGGGGUCAACGCCGAGACGUCCUCUGGGUCAUCUGAGAGUGCCUGCAAUGGACGAGAAUUAAGACAAGCUUCGAUCUGGGCGAGGAGUGUGCUCAGCUCCUCGAACGUGAGGGUGGUCUCGCCGAUCACCCGACGGAGGUGGAACUUGGUCGACUUCACUGCAGCCUCCCAAAGACCACCAAAGUGCGGGGCCGCUGGCGGGUUGAAGUGCCAGCGGAUUCCUUGAGCGGUGGCGGCAAGGACGAUACGAUGACCUUCGGCUGUCGCUGCAUCAAAGAGACCUCGCAGCGUACGAUCUGCCCCGAUGAAUGUCGUGCCGCAGUCGCUGUAGAUCUCAGCACAGAGGCCCCUGCGGGAGACGAAGCGGUGCAGAGCGGCGAUGAAAACCUCGGAGGUGUAGUCGGAGACGACCUCCAAGUGAGUGGCCUUCGACCAGAAACAGACAAAGACUGCGAUGUACCCUUUGUGCGCGCGGUGUCCACGUCCCUUGCUGGUCCGAAGGAGGAUGGGUCCUGCGUAAUCCACGCCGGUGCUGAGGAACGGUCGGGUUGGCGUUACUCGGUCCCGAGGAAGGUUACCCAUCUGAGGCUGUGGCGUGGCAGCACGCCAUCGAGUGCAGGUAACGCAUCGAUGUAGCUGCUGCUUGACGGCGGUUCUUCCUCGAGGUACCCAGAAGCGCAGGCGGAGCAGGCCGAGUGUCAGCUGCACACCCCCGUGCAGUGUCCGUCGAUGGCAGGAAUCGAUCACCAGCCGAGUCAGCCAGGAUACCGCCGGGAUGAUCAUCGGAUGUUUCUCGUCGAGCGGAAGUUGAGAGUUUUUGAGACGUCCUCCGACGCGCAGUACGCCUUGAUCGUCGAGGAACGGACUCAACUUCACCAGGUGGCUUCGCGGUGGAGUAGUGCGUCCAGCAGAGGCCGCGGCCACGUCCGUCGGAAAGUGGAGCGCCUGCACCACUCGCAGCCAUCGAAACAGCGCGGAGUCCAGCUCGUCAGGCUGCAAUGGACGGCCAGGUCUGGCGUCACGUCUCACCGGGUUGAGCCAUCGACGACACCACGCAGUGACUCGCAGCAGCCGUUGCAGCGUCGGGAACCGCAGAAGAAGGUCCGGUUCGGUAGUGACUGGCGCCUUGACUACCAGGCUGGUGACUCGUUGCUCAGGGAGGUCAUCCUCUGGGUCGUCGAUGUCUGCACCAGGCCAGGCAGCCUCGUCUCCUGACAGCCAGGGUUUUCUCGUCCGGCGACGUGUCUCCAAUGAGCGUCUGGAAGCAGGGUCUGGAUCUGCGACACUCGGUUGGCAACAAAGGUCUUCCAGCGGGUGCAGUGUCCGCGAAUCCAGUGAAGAGUGACCUUGGAGUCGGACCACAGGUGCACCGGCGUAGCAGCCAAGCCGAGGGUAGUGCGUACAUGCAACAUGAGCGUGCGUUGCGGAUGUAUACGACGGCGGCGUAUCCUCGCUCCGAUGCAUCGGCAAACCCAUGGAGCUGCAGUUGCGACUGGUCAUCUCCGGUGCUGAGCCAACGAUCCACACGGAUGUGAUCCAGCAACGGAAGUUGAUUCAGCAGUUGUCUCCAGCGGUGUGCGUCCUGAUCAGGCAGCGGAGAGUCCCAAUCCAGCCGUUGAAGCCACGUAGACUGGAUCAGAAUUUUGGCUCGGAUGACGACAGGCGCUAGCCAGCCCAUCGGAUCGAAUAGUCGAGCUGUCUCGGCCAAGACUCGUCUCUUCGUGAGGUCGGUGGUUGAACGCGGACGUAUGGUGAAGGAGAACCAAUCCCCUUGAGGAUGCCAUCGAAGACCCAGGGUGGCGUGGCUCUCUCCUUCCCACGAGCGCGGUCCGCGUUGAAGCCGAUGUUCCGGCGGAAUUCCGGUGAGCACCUGCUGGUUGUUGGCAGCCCACUUUCGCAAAGGAAAUCCGCCCGCCAUGCAGAGACUCUGUAGUUCCUGUUGGAGUUUGAUGGCAUCCGCCAGGCUGUCAGCACCGGUGACCACGUCGUCGACGUAACAGUCUUGUCGCAGCGCCCUGACUCCGCGUGGAUAUCGUGCCUCUUCGUCUGCAGCAAGUUGGUGAAGCGUCCUGAUGGCGAGGAAGGGUGCGCACGCCAGUCCGUAGGUCACGGUCUUCAACUCGUACUCGCGGAUGUUGUCUGAGCUGUUGUGGCGCCACAGGAUGGUUUGCAGGCGACAAUCCUCCGGAUGAACAAGAAUUUGUCGGUACAUUUUCUCGAUGUCCGUGACGAAAACGUACCGAUGCCAACGCCAACGGAGUAAGACGUCAGCGAGUGCUGGCAAGAGGUUAGCUCCAGUGAGGAGGUGCGAGUUCAGCGACUCUCCGGACCGUGUGCGUUGGGAGCCGUUGAACACAACCCUGAGCUUCGUGGUCGUGCUCGACUCC